AGAAGUGGUUCUCAUCUUUUUUUGCAGCUUAAGAUCUGCCUUGGUAUUUGAAGAGAUAUAAACUAGAUCAAUUUCUUUCACAGGAUCAACUAAACAGUGUACCACAAUGAAUUCUGAACUUGACUAUUAUGAAAAGUUUGAAGAAGUCCAUGGGAUUCUAAUGUAUAAAGAUUUUGUCAAAUAUUGGGAUAAUGUGGAAGCGUUCCAGGCAAGACCAGAUGAUCUUGUCAUUGCCACCUACCCUAAAUCUGGUACAACCUGGGUUAGUGAAAUUGUGUAUAUGAUCUAUAAAGAGGGUGAUGUGGAAAAGUGCAAAGAAGAUGUAAUUUUUAAUCGAAUACCUUUCCUGGAAUGCAGAAAAGAAAACCUCAUGAAUGGAGUAAAACAAUUAGAUGAGAUGAAUUCUCCUAGAAUUGUGAAGACUCAUUUGCCACCUGAACUUCUUCCUGCCUCAUUUUGGGAAAAGGAUUGUAAGAUAAUCUAUCUUUGCCGGAAUGCAAAGGAUGUGGCUGUUUCCUUUUAUUAUUUCUUUCUAAUGGUGGCUGGUCAUCCAAAUCCUGGAUCCUUUCCAGAGUUUGUGGAGAAAUUCAUGCAAGGACAGGUUCCUUAUGGUUCCUGGUAUAAACAUGUAAAAUCUUGGUGGGAAAAGGGAAAGAGUCCACGUGUACUAUUUCUUUUCUACGAAGACCUGAAAGAGGAUAUCAGAAAAGAGGUGAUAAAAUUGAUACAUUUCCUGGAAAGGAAGCCAUCAGAGGAGCUUGUGGACAGGAUUAUACAUCAUACUUCGUUCCAAGAGAUGAAGAACAAUCCAUCCACAAAUUACACAACACUGCCAGACGAAAUUAUGAACCAGAAAUUGUCGCCCUUCAUGAGAAAGGGAAUUACAGGAGACUGGAAAAAUCACUUUACAGUAGCCCUGAAUGAAAAAUUUGAUAAACAUUAUGAGCAGCAAAUGAAGGAAUCUACACUGAAGUUUCGAACUGAGAUCUAAGAAGGUCUUUCUUUACUUAACAUAUCUGAUAUUAAAGAUUUCUUUUCAUUAUUCUCCACUUUUUCUUAUUUUAGAUUGCUAGAAAAGACAUAAUCAUGGAUUAUGUUGACAUUUUCUUUUUAAAUUUUUGUUUAACUUUUUUUUUUUUUUUUUGAGACAGAGUCUCACUCUGUUGCCUAGGCUGGAGGACAGUGGCACAAUCAUGGCUGAUUGCAGCCUUGACCUCCUUGACUCAAUUGAUCCUCCCAUCUCAGCCUCCCAAGUAGCUAGGACUACAGACAUGUGCAACCAUGUUUGGCUAAUUUUUUUAAUGUUUUUUUGUAGAGAUGAGGUCUUAUUAUAUUGUCCAGGCUGGUCUUGAAUUCCUGGGCUCAAGCUUCCCAAGUAGCUGCAACAACAGGCACACACCACCAUGCUCAACUAAUUUUAUUUCUAUUUUUUGUAUAGACAGGGGCUUGCUAUAGUGUCCAGGCUGGUCUGAAACCCUUGAGCUCAAGUGAUCUUCCCACACCAGCCUCCCAAAAUACUGGGAUUACAGGCUUGAGCCUCCAUGCCUGGCCCAGGUAACAUGUUUAUUGAGCUGUACAUGCAUAUGAGAAAUAAGAAACUUUUUUUUCCUACUAUCAUCUCUUAAAUUUUGUUUUCUUUUUCUUUUGCUUCCUCUUCUUCUUUUCUAUUUUUUAUAAAUAUCAUGCACAACUAUAACCUAUGGGAAUGAUGUAGUAACACAGAUUAUUCAUCUUGUUAGAGUUGUAUUAAAAAUAAACAAGCAUUUCAAAUUAUUUUUGUGAUUGAUUUUCCAUUUAGUAGGACAUUAGUAUAUAAUAAAAAUGGUGCAUGAACUUUGAAGACUCUGGAAGAAAGAAUGAAAUAAUAUAUAAAUAGGGGGCAUAACUAUAGCUAUGAUUUCCCUCCUUAUUUUCUUUUAUUUUCUUUUUUUUUGAGACGGAGUCUCACUCUGUCUCCCAGGCUGCAGUGCAGUGGCGUGAUCUCUGCUCAUGCUCACUGCAAGCUCCACCUCCUGGGUUCCCGCCAUUCUCCUGCCUCAGCCUUCCAAGUAGCUGGGACUACAGGCGGCCGCCACCACGCCCGGCUAAUUUUUUGUAUUUUUAGUAGAGACGGGGUUUCACAGUGUUAGCCAGGAUGGUCUCGAUCUCCUGACCUCGUGAUCCACCCGCCUCAGCCUCCCAAAGUGCUGGGAUUACAGGCGUGAGCCACCGCGCCUGGCCCAUUUUCUUUUACUUUCAACAAAAUGAGUUAAUUUUAAAUUUACCUUAGUCUAACUCCAAUUUUUCAACAUAACACAACAGAUUUCCAAACAUCCAAAAAUAAUUCCAAUGAGUGUGAUUUAUCUUCAGCUAGUUUGAAAUAUUUAUGCUUUAGGGUUCCUUCUGUCCUAUAUGCAAUCCAACAAAUGUAAAUAUUGUAAAAUAAGUUUUAAAGAAUAAGAUAUUUGGCAGUAAAAUAUAACAAAAACAGAAGAAAAAAGAAUUAAAAUUUUUUAUUGUUUUUUAUUUAAAACAUCUUCUAUUUUUAAAAUUGUAUUCUUUUUCUGUACUAUGUUUAGUCAAUGCUUCCUUUCACUAACACAGAGGAGACACAAGAUCAUUACAUAUUUACUUAGGGUCUUCAGUAGAAUGCUUAUCUAGACUACAAUAGACUAAAAGGCCAAAUCUGGGGAGAAAUCCAGAUGAUUUAUUUUCUUACUUUUUGGAGAAAAGUCCAUGGAUUUCUGAGCACCCUAUUCAAUAGUUAUAGUUUUUAAGAAUCAAAGCUUUUUUUUAAUGUUUAAUAUAGUUAUUAAUUAUACAAAAAUUGGAGAGUCUUGGAAAAUAUUAAGAUAUUGUUGAGGACAGUGUUUACCGGGGGAAUCAGAAUCAAUCCCUGAAAACAAUUGUUUUACAUUUUUUAUGUGCCCAUUUAGUCAUAAUUUUUAAAAUUUCACAUUAUAAUGUCCAAUAACUUUUUUAGAAUGCAUUUUGUAAGAUUCAUAGUGAUGUUGCCCACAUUAUAAUUGACGUAAGUAAGCAAUAAUAAACCUACGUAUAUUUCUGACAUCAGUCCUUGGUGGAACAACACAUUCCAGUUUAGCCUGAAUAAAAUUUGGACCAACUAUAUCUUUCCAAAGCUUGCCAAGAAACUUCUGUAUCUUCUUUGGAGAAGUAAUACGGCUGGGAUCUAGCUUCAAUUUCACGUAGAAACUUCAACACCUUUAGAUUAUUGGCAUCUUCCUGGAGCUGGGCUUACAGUCCAUAUGGACUGGAGACAAUGAAAACCUUGGACGGCAUCAUGUGGUAAAAUACAUAGGGGUGGCCAAUGUAGCUUUGGUUCUGUGCUUCCAAGAAAGCUACAGAAUUUUUUUACCUCAUUGCUUAAUAUUUCCUAAUAAUUAUAUCUCUAGAACAAUGCCUUCAGGCCCAGAUAAAUUCACAGAAAUACUUUUUAAAGGUUUAUGGACUGACUGAUUAAUACCAUGUGUUAUCAUUUGAAUGUGUUCCCCAAAAGUUUAUGUAUUGAAAACUCAAUUAAUCUGCCCUCAUAAAUGGAUUAAUUGAUUAAUGAGAGCUCUGCACUCAUGAAUGGAUUGGUGUCACUAUCCCAGGAGUGGGUUCAUUAUUGCCAGAGAGACUUUAUUACAAAAGUGAGUCCUCUCUGGCUCUUACUGUCUCACAUAUGAUGCCUUUUAUGUUAUGUUGCAGCAAAAAGGCCCUCACCAGAUGCCAAUGGCAUGCUCUUGGACUUUUCAGUUUCCCAAACUAAGCCAAACAAACUUCUGGAUUUUGUAAAUCCCAGUUUAUGUUGUUCUGUUAUAGUGACAGAAAAUAGACAUUCUGUCAACACUAGGAAGUACUCAGUUAGCACUUAUGGGUGUGGUAAUUGCUCAUAAUUGGAGCCAUCCCAUAAAGUUCAUCCAUAUGGUUAAAAUACCUAAGAAUUCAACUUGAGCAACGAAUAAAUGAAGUAGUAUGAGACUAUGCCUGACAGCAUAAAAUAAACAAGCAUCCGUGUUGAUAUAAAUAAAUGAUUAAAUAAUUAAAUGUGGUAAAUAAAUAUACCAUACAGAAGAAUUUCACCUACUUAUGUAUAGUUCCCCGUGCCAUUCCUUAAGUGUGAGAUCCAUAUUGGGACUUUCUUAUAAAGGGCAAGUGCAGUAUGAGGGGAAGAGUAACUUUGGAGUGGAGAAACCCUACCUCAGCCAGGUAAUUCCCCUUUUGUAUAUAACUAAUUACCUGAUCAGGCAGAUCACCUUCUAUGUCCUGCUCUCUAUCAGACCUCUGAUCUCACUGCCACUUUCCAUUCCCCAGGCAUGCUACUUGUCUGCUAGGCCUCUGAAACUCCUUAGCCCCUUGUAUGCUACCAUUUUCAAGGGAACAAAGGGAAAGAAAAAGAAAAGAGAAAAUAAAUUUUCACUUAUUUUUAGGUCUAAUGUCUUCAGGGUCCAGUAAAAGUACAGCGUCAUAAAAGACCUCCUUCUGCUCCCUUUGCUGACACCUACCUUAGCCUCGUAAGCCAGAAGACUUGAAAAGGUUCUGGUCCACAUCUCAGACUGCAAAACAAGCAAGAAGAUUUAUUAUGAAUCAGAGUUGUUUGUGCUCUCAGGAAGGAAGAUAAUGAUCUAACCAAUCUCUUUCACUGGGAACUGUUUUCUGAAUAUUAUAAGGCCCCAGGGAUUCCAGAUGGAAUACAGUAUAAUUAACUCUUCACCACCAAAUACCUAUGUUAGAAGACCUUGAGAAUAAAUGAUUGCCUAAUAGCAAAUGGCAUCCUACUUCUUGACUACACUUGCACCUGAGGAUACAAAAGGACAAGGUGUAUUUAACCUUAGAAUGUCUCUAUAAGAUGAAAACAAGUAAGUGCAAUUAUCUCCACUUAAAGUCUAAAGUUGGCAAACACUUAUAAGAUAAAUGACUUGCUCAAGACUGACUAGGAGGAAGAGUUUUAGUAUAAAAACUUAAACUCAUUAUCUCUUUUUUACAUGGGACUGAAUGGAGGAUUGAGAAUGGCUCUUUAUGUGGAAGAUAACAUAUUUAAUAUAUUUUCUUUCGUUUUAAGGCAGUAUUGAAAUGAAAAAAGAAUAAACUUCUAGAUUCUGAUAGUAUACAUGGUAAUAAUGUAAUCAUUUUAGUAAUAAUUAAGCUAUAUUGGGUAAUUUUUGCAUGCCAAACAGCAUACUGCAUAUUUACAUGUUAAAUCAUUCCUUUUAUGAAAUUUUAACAAUGACAAUGAUGUAAUAGCAAUGAUUCUAUGAAGAAUCUGCUAAGAUAAAGAAGCCUAGGCCAGGAACUGUGGCUCAUGUCUGUAACCUCAGCACACUGGGACGCCAAGGAGGGAGAAUAGCUUGAGGCCAGGAGUUUGAGACCAGCCUGGGCAAAACAGCCUAGUUUCUACAAAACAACCCAGUCUCUACAAAAAUAAAAAUAACAUAAAUAAAUAAAUAAUCCUCUACUCAAUAACAAAGUUCAUUUGCCCAAGGAUACGUAUUUGGUAACUGAACAUUUCUAAUGAUAAUAUGAAUUUCAAAACUAUUAUUAUUAGUUUGAAAUGUUAGUGUAUGAUAUAGAAAUCAUACCUAUCAAUCAGUAUUCAGUAAAUAUUUAUCUUCUACAUUUAUUUUCUUUAAUAAUAUACCUUGGUCACUAUUCCUGUUUAUUAUUACACCUUUAUCUUCCUUACAUUCCCAGUCAUAGCCUUUCUAUCUCCACUUAUCAUAAAUUCAGUUUGAAUCUUCCAGUUCUCCAAAUAGACAUAAUGGUUAUCUUUCUCUGUUUCUAACACUUUUGUAACAGUUCAAGUUAUUCUCUCUAUUUAAGAUCCAGUGGUGACAAAGUGUUAAGUGCUGAGCAUGCAAAGACAGUAAGACACGCACAGUUCCACUUUUAUGGAAUUUAUAAUGUAAUGCCACAUAAAUUAAACAAUCAACUCUAAUAUUAGUCAUAUGCAUUUAGCAUGACAACAGGAUGCUUUGGAAACACAUAAAGGAUACGUACCCAAAUAAUGGAAAGUUUCUUAGGGAAAGUGAUAUGGAAACUGAAGGACAGUUAGCAAUCAGCUGGGCAAUAAUGGAGCAUGAUGUUCUGGGCAGAGGGAAAAAUAUGUGUGAAGGACUAGGUAAAAGAGUUUAGGGUAAUAUAAUUCAGAAUAUGUGAUGCAGAAAGUAAGAGGUAAGGAUGGAGUUAUGCAUAUGCCUGAUAGUAAAGAAACUUGAGAGCAUUAAUAAAGAAUAUAAAAUUUUUGACUUCUUGAUAUGGUAACAAUUCUUCAGCAGCUUUGUAACCAGCAGAUUCAGUGGAGUAUCAUGAUAAGUAUAGGGAGAGGAUCCAUGUUGUCAGAAAAUGAGGGGCGAAAUAGAAAUGAGGAAAUAGAAACAGCGAUUUUCCCUGUGACUGCAAGAUAUUUAUUGGGAAAUUUACGUAAAUUUUAUGAUCCUACUAUUAAUAUUACCACUGGAUUAGAUUUAUAAUAAGGAUAUCUUUCUGCUCUUUUUCCUUCUAUACUUUCUUCUCCUGCUGAUGCUACUGUUACUACUACAACUGUGAUAGACACCUUUUUUUAAGCACUUCAGAGGAAUAAAACAGGUGAAUUAACUCAUUGGUUCUCACAAACUGGUGAUUUACCAAGAUCACUCUGGCCUAAGAGUGGACCAUUUAUUAGAAGAAAUGGAUAAAGCAGUUAAGAAGCUGUUGUUAUCCAAUUGAAAGAAGACAGCAGCUUGAGAUGAACACUGAAUAUAAGAAGUGGGCAAUUGAAGUGAUGGUUUACAUGAAUAGAUCAGAAAAUGUCAUGGUGACUAAUAGAGGCAAUAUGAAGGAAGUGAGAGAAGACAAGGUUAUAGUUUAUAAUAUUGCCUGACUGUCAUUGACAAAAAUAGCAAAAUAGAAGUCUUUUCCUCCCUUUGUUUGAGGCAGGGUAUGGAUACAAUGAUGAAUUCAAUUUUGAAUGUGUCAAAUUUGAAAUGUUAUGAGAUAUCUAAGGAAGAUGUCCAGUAAGCAGCUUACUAUACAAACCUGGAGCUCAGGAGACUUAAAUGUAGAAGUGGAUAUAGGAGAAAGUGUAGCAUUAUCAGAAAAGAAGGCUUGUAGCUUGGAAGGAGUAGGAUCUGGAUAAUUACCAAUAUGUAGGGAAUGGGCAGAAGAAAAUGAGGUCACUAAUAACAAAUCCCCCAAAACAAAAUGUUUCAAGAUAAAGGAGGAAAACCAGAAGAAACUGGUACAACUAAAGCUAAGCUACAAAGAACAUUUCAAAGGAUGGAGUGGUAAAAUGGUCAAAUGCUAUAGGGAAGGCAAAUACAAUUAAAAAGAAAGUAUUGGCUUUAAAUUUAACAACAAAUGUGAUUAUUCUUUGAUGGCUUUUAACAUAGAAUUAUUUGCAAAUGAUAGUGGAGUAGUGAGAUGGUGGGAGAAGAAUCAAUGUCUCCAUGGGUUAGUGCCAUGAAAGGGAGGAAAAGCAAUAGAAACAGCAGGAAUAUAAGUUCCUACAAGUAGAUUGACUGUGAAAGUGUGAAAGAGUGGAGAGAACUGGUAGUACUUUGCCUAUGGUUAAUAUUCAGUAAAUUAUUAGUGGAAAAUGGCAAGAAAAGGCAUGUGCUACUUAAGCUUAUAAUCUGUUUUGAUGUUCUUCACUGUCCCUUUAUUUGUUGGCAAAGCUUCUCAACUUACCUCUUGGCAUGGUAUAAAUUGCAUAAGAAACUACUCAGAAUUUCAGAUUGAUACUUGCCUUCAAUUGUUUAUGAAGGAACCAGACAGUAAGUUCCUUAGCAAUUUCAGUCAUGCGUGGAAAUUCUACCUAAGUUAGCUGUACAAGUAAGAAGUCUGUUAUUAGGAAAUUACAUUGUAUUCCAAAAGCAUGCCUAUUCUGGCCACUCUAUUGUAAUACUAGAGAUGCUUUCUAUGCCUGAAAACAAUUUUCAUGCUAAGAUGUUGAGUGUACACCAUGCAGCCACAUGAAACUAGGUAUUUUACAUAUUAUUACAUUUUAAUCCUCAUAUCAACAAUGUUGACUGGUAUCAUAUCCCUCAUCUAAAACAUCAUAAUAUGUUUUAGAUGAGGAAACCAAGUAUCAUGCCUAGGGUUCCAUAUAAAUUGCAGAACCAUAAUUUGUACUUAGGCACAUAUAGUGAGGCAGGAUAUUAAAGAAAGAAAAGCAAAAUAAAAAUUAAAAGAAAAAAAUAAAACAAGCUGCCUGUGUUAGGCAGACUCAUUUCAAAGGCAGUAACAGGCAAAGUUUUGAUAACGUUAUCUAAGGGCCAGAGCUCAAAGGGAUGUGCCCUGAAGACUUUCCCAGCACUCCCUCAAUAUAGAGAUGUGAGGAGAUAAGUUCUCCUAUCUCUCCUUUAGUGUAAGUAAACUUCCCCCUCGAAUCCCAUGCCGUCUGCUAUGUAACUAUAUCUUGCUCCUUGCUCUGUAAGUGUUAUGAGUUCUUGUUUUCCCUAUAGUUAAUGAUUGUAGGUUCCUGCUUUUUCAUCUAAGCAGUGUAACAAAGGUCACCAGACGUGCCUGAGCAGGUCUAGCUUACAGCCAGCUGGACGCCAUGGUGGGGGGGUCGCAAGAUGAGUAUUUGUGAAACUCCUUUGAACUUUGAACUAACCCAGAUAAUGACCAUCUGGGCUGCAUAGUAAGGGGUAUACUAAACCUGAGUUAUAUGCCUGGCAUAGCCUGAUUAAGUGCCUUUGUCUUGUUUCUGUACAUUUGUUUUCGCACCACUUAGGAGUAGGUAUAUGAGCAAGACCUUGUCUUUGUUCGGGGCCCAGUCUUUGGACAUUGAGUCUGCUGUGUCUGAGUGCACUCAAUAAAGAUUCUCCUGCUUUACUCCGAGGUCUCUCUUGCCCUCCUGAUUUUUCUGCAACAUUUCUGGUGCGCCAGCCAGGAGGGAGAGAUGACAGAUUGGCUGUCUCCUUUGCCUGUGGGUCUGGGGCUCCCAGCCAUGGGAGAUCAGUUACCCCAAGCAUGCCACUGGGAGAACCUCAACCUGAAGGGGAGAUCGGCUCUCCUGCUUCUCCGGCGCCCCUCCCCUAACAGUGCAACAGAACCUGGAAGGGGUUACAGGACAAUCCCAGAAGCAGCUCUACUGAACUGUGGUAAGGUUUUGGGGCUCAAGGCAGGACCUGUCCCGUAAGGACAGAAGAGGAGCUUGAUCACCUCCCGAGGUAUAACCACUAAUUUGACCCAGAGAGGCUGGAGGUGAGAGUGGCUCUGCAAUUCAGAUGAAACUUAUACCCCAACUGACAUGGUAUGUGAGAGAGGAUUGCUAAGUCAGUUAGAAAAGGGAACUGGGAGAGGGGAAGUGUGUGAAACUGCGUGAGAGAUGGUUCUGGGAGGGACUAACGCAGGAAGUAAUGUGGGGAGACACAGAUCUCUUAGUGUGGACUGUGUGCUCCGAGCGGUGUGGGACCGACCUGGGCUAGUGACAAUCCACAUCUGGCUAAUAGGAGCUGCCCCCUGGCUGCAGCAUCCGUGGUGGGAAUAAGGAACUCUCCUAGCUAAGCAGCAUCUGAAAACUCCCGUAAUAGGAGACGGUCUGGUCGGUCAGAAAAGAAAGAGCGAGUGCACAUCGUAAAGGGAGGAAAUGUGGGGACAGUUGUUGAAACCCACUCCAUUGGAAUGUACGUUAAAUAAUUUUAAGAAAGUUUUUUCAGGGGAUUAUGGAAUUAAACUGACCCCCCAAAGGUUGAGAACUCUCUGUGAAUUAGAAUAGCCCUCUAUUGGUGUCAGUUGGCUGGCCGAGGAUAUUAUAGAUAGGGAGACAAUAGGCCGGGCAUUUAAGGUGGUGACCAGGGUCGGGGGACAGCAAGGGUAACCAGACCAAUUCCCCUAUAUCAAUUCAUGCCUCAAUAUUAUAUAAAACUGACCAGCAUGGUUGCAACCCUGUUUGGCAGCAUAUUGUAAGACACUAGUGGCCCAAGCAGCCGAACCCAAAAGUAAAAUCAGCCAUGCUGGCAGCUGCAGAGAAAAAGAAAAAGCUACAGGAAAGGCAAGAUAAACGAGUUUUACAGGCACCUCAGGAGGAAACAGAAUUUCCUCAUCCUCCUUAGGUUCCAAUCAACCCCCCUUUACCAAGACCAACUGCUUUUGCUGCUGGUUCAUCUGUGAGGCCAACUGCCCCAGCUGCCCACAAGGAGUUAAAUCCGAGUGGGUACAUGCUCCCAGCCUCACCUGAGAAGGAGGAAUCAGAGCUACAGAAAGUUAGGGCGGAAAGCCUAGAAAGUCAGGUAGGCUGUCUCAGGUCUGGCCGUGCCCAAGUCAUGCAAAUUGCUCUUCAGGAAAUGAGAGGACCUGUCUAUUAUCAAGAGCAUGGCCACAUCCAGGGGGCAGAGUGAGCUUUUGUUUACCAGCUCUUUUCAAUCACUGAUCUCAUGAACUGGAAGCAUCAUGCUCCCUCCUACACAGAGAAGCCACAGGCUUUUAUAGACUUGAUGCAGUCCAUUAUUCAGACAACCAAUCCAACCUGGCCAGAUUGGAAACAGCUUCUUCUGACACUGUUUAAUAUGGAAGAGUGCCAGAGACUGACACAGGCAGCCCUCCAGUGGCUAGAAGCAAAUGCUCCUGCAGACACAGUUAAUGCCCAGGCAUAUGCGCAGGGCCAGUUCCCUGAAACAGACCCCAAUUGGGACCCAAAUGACGCAUCCCAGCUGCAGCAUCUGCAGCAGUACUGAGAGGCAAUCCUGCAUGGGCUAAAAAAUGGUGGGAGAAAAGCAGCCAAUGCAGGAAAAAAUCUCAGAGGUGCUCCAAGGAGCAGAUGAAAGACCAAGCCAGUUUUACGAAAGACUUUGUGAGGCAUUUCGGUUGUACACCCUGUUCAACCCUGAGGCUACUCAAAAUCAGCAUAUGGUAAAUACAUCAUUCAUAGGGCAGGCCCAGGGCAAUAUUAGGUAAACAUUGCAGAAGAUGGAAGAUUUCAUGAGCAUGAAUGCUACUCAGCUUAUUGAGGUAGCCACCAAGGUGUACAUUAACCAAAAUCAGGAGGCAAAGAGGGAGGCUAAUUGAAGGCUUAAGAAAAAGGCUGAUUUGCUGGCAGCAGCCCUUACAGGAAGGGAAGCUGGCUUUGCAAGGGGACACAAACAUGGGUGUGGAAGAGGCCAGACUGGACAGGGAUUUGAGAGUUGGCUGAGACUAGAAAGAGAUCAAUGGACCCAGUGAAAAAGGAAAGGACACUGGAAGGACAAGUGUCCAGAGAAUGAUAACAAGGAGAAUGGUCUGGGCCAUCGUAUGGGAAGGCCACCAGCAGGGGGAUACCACACCCAGGACUAACCACUGAUCUGAUUGGACUGGCAGGGGCUGAGGGAUAUGAGGACUAGGACAGACCAGGCUCCAUCUCUUUGGGCCUCCAGGAGCCUAUGAUCACUUUGGAAGUAGGGGGCCAGUUGAUGGACUUUAUGGUAGAUACUGGGGCUGAGCAUUUGGUAGUGACCUGACUUAUAGGGCCACUAUCCAAGAACUGUGCAACCAUUGUAGGAGCCAUUGGAGUUUCAGAAAGAAGGCCUUUCUAUCGGUCAAAGAGAUGUGUAAUAGGAGGACAAGGAGUCCAACAUGAAUUCCUAUACCUUCCAAAUUGUCCAGUUCCUUUGCUGGGAGGAGACCUACUUCAAAACCUGCAGGCACAGAUUACAUUUGGGUGGCAAGGGAAUGUAACUUUAAACCUAGCUCACCCAUAGGCUAUGGUGUUAACCCUUACUGUCCUGAAAGCUGAGGAAUGGAGGCUAUAUGCAGAAAAGACCCUGGAAGCAGGAGUAAAUGAUAUGCACACAUUACUUACUAAAAUUCCCAGAGUUCGGGCUGAAAGUAACCUGCUUGGACUGACAGUAAAUCAGGCACCAAUUGUAGUGGACUUAAAACCAGGAGCAACUCUGGUUUGGGUCCAUCAGUACCCACUACUACUUUCCAAGGCCAUAUGGGGAAUCCACAAACACUUAGAGCGACUUCAUAAGCAUAGAAUCAUAGUCAAAUGCCAGUCACUGUGGAAUACCCCUCUCUUGUCAGUGAGGAAGCUGUCUAGUGAAUAUAGGCUAAUGCAGGAUUUGCAUGCGGUAAACCAAGCUAUAGUGACCAUCCACCCAGUGGUGCCAAACCUGUAUACUUUAAUGGGACAUAUUCCAGCAAGUGCCACUUGGUUUUUACAGUCCUAGAUUUAAAGGAUGCAUUUUUCUGCCUCCAGCUGGCACCGAUUAGUCAGACUAUUUUUGCUUUCCAGUGGGGUCAAUCACAGUACACUUGGACAAGACUCCCACAGGGAUUUAAGAACUCUCCCACAAUCUUUGCAGAGACACUGGCCUCAGAUCUUAAAGACUGCACCUCACCGAGCAGUGACUGUGUCUUGCUCCAGUACAUUGAUGAUCUCCUUCUAGCAGCCCCAACCCAAGAGGACUGCUAUCAGGGGACUCCUGCACAUGUUAUGGAAGGCAGGAUAUAAAGUGUCAGGGAAAAAGGCUCAAAUCUGCUCUGAAAGUGUCCAGUGUUUAGGCUUCUAUAUAAGCCAAGGGAAAAGAUGGCUCGGUAGUGAAUGGAAGCAGGCUGUUUGUGCACUUCCUACUCCAACCACCUGGUGACAAAUAAGAGAGUUCCUAGUGUGUCCAGAAUUGGUUCCUUCUGGUGGGUUCUUGGUCUUGUUGACUUCAAGAAUGAAGCCACGGAAGCUUGCAGUGACUGUUACAGUUCUUAAAGGUGGUGUGUCCAGAGUUUGUUCCUUCAGAUGUUCAGAUGUGUCCAGAGUUUCUUCCUUCUGGUGGGUUUGUGGUCUCGCUGACUUCAGGAGUGAAGCUGCAGACCUUUGCAGUGAGUGUUACAGCUCUUAGAGGUGGCAUGUCCAGAGUUGUUUGUUCCUCCUGGUGGGUUCAUGGUCUUGCUGACUUCAGGAGUGAAGCCACAGACCUUCACUGUGAGUGUUACAGCUCUUAAAGGUAGUGAGGACCAAAAGAGUGAGUGGCAGCAAGAUUUAUUGUGAAGAGCGAAAGAACAAAGCUUCCAUAGCAUGGAAAGGGACUUGAGUGGGUUGCCGCUGCUGGCUUGGGUGGCCAGCUUUUAUUCCCUUAUUGAGGACGGUCAUCAAGGACAGGAGAUUAACACUGAGAAGGCCUCACCAGUGUCAAGGAGGAAGACAAUUUCCUGACCAUCAAUGGUUAAAUGUACCUGGGACUCAGUGAGGGUGACAUGUGCUGGCACUUGCCUCAAGCAUCCUCAGUCCUGUUGUUGGAUCAUCUGGUUGGGGGCUUCUGGCCUAAAGAACCUUUGCCCUCUGGGGCAGUGUGCCUUCCAGUGAUUGCAUCGGCAUAGCAGACAUGAAUGAGGGGUUGGCAUAGCAGACAUGGAUGAGGGGGUGGCUUGUUUCUCAUUGGACAAUCUUUUUUAAAGUGUCCUAGUAAACCACACUGAUAACAAGCCCUCACGGGUAAUUGGCCUGCUCCAUUUUCUGUCCUCUCUGAACCACCAAAGUUUGUUUGUCUGAGGGCCAUGACUAAGGCUGCGGCCUUUCUCUGAUCUCGCUUUUCCUUUUGGGCCUGUUCCUCUUGGCCCUAUUAUAGAACACCGAGGUUGCCAGGUUUAAUAAUGCCUCCAGAUUUUGUUCAGGGCCCAGGGCUCGCUUUUGGAGCUUUCUCUUGAUAUCUGUGGCUGACUGGGUAAUAAACUUAUCUUUUAGGAUCAAUUGACCCUCGAAGGAGUCAGGUGACAGGGGAGCAUAUUUCCUUAAGGCCUCUUGUAGCUGCUUGAGGAAGGCAGAAGGAUUUUCUUCCUUUCCCGGAGUUAUGGUAGACAUCAUUGAAUAUUUCAUGGGCUUUUUUCCUAAUUCUCCUUAGUCCUUCUAGAACACGGGUCAACAGAUGUUUGCGACUCCAGUCCCCAUGAUCUGAGUCGAGGUCCCAGUGGGGAUCCAUACUGGGGACAGCGUGCUGACCAGUAGGGAAUUUGUCCCUUUCUUCAGCUGUCAUUCUAUCAUUUACUUGACUAAGAUAUCAGGUAUCUCCAAACUCUCGGGCUGCAGUUAAAGCCACAUUCUUUUCAUUAAAGGCCAGGGUUUGGUCUAACAAUAGCAUGACAUCUCUCCAAGUGAGAUAGAAGGUUUGCCCUAGACCCUGUAGGACAUCUAUGUACCUAUCAGGAUCAUCUGAAAGCUUCCCCAGGUCUACCUUGAUCUGCUUUAAAUCAGAAUAGGAGAAGGGGACAUGUACCUGGGUUGAGCCAAAUUCCCCUCCCCCUACAGCUUGAAGGCGACAUAACCGAUAGCUGGGGGAUUUUUGUGGUUCCUUGGAGAUUUCUUUGCUUGUUUCCUUCUGGGAAGGGGAGAUUAGAGGAGGCUUAUCAUUAAUAGGAAGGGGAGCUAUAUGGAGGCUAGGAUAUGGGGGUAAGCUGAGAGGUCCUCCUGUGGGAUGUAAAUUGCAAGAUUUGCAUAGUUGUGUAUUCUCCUUCAAUGAAAAGAAAGCUUGGACAUAAGGUAUUUUGCUCCAUUUGCCUUCCCUCUUACAGAAAAGGUCAAGCUGCAGGAUAGUAUUAUAAUUUAUACUUCCCUCAGGUGGCCAUUUUUCCCCAUCAGAGAGAGAAUAUUGGGGCCAAGCCAUAGUGCAGAAAAAAAUAAGCCACCUCUUUUUCAGGGUUUGUGGGCCAAAUUGGUCCCAAUGAGUUAGGAUGCAUUUCAAGGGUGAGCCUGUUGGUGCUUGAGUGUUUCUCAUCUGAAAGAAAAAACCACCUGUGGUUUUGCUUUGUUUCUCCCCUGCCCAAGAACCCGCAACAGUCCCUGGACCCUGCUGAUCGGAAUAGUUGCACUCACUGACACAGCAGCAGAAACACUAGUUUUCCUCCUAGACCACAAGGAGGACCGAGGAAUGUUGGAUUUAGCAGUCCUUACCAACACAUUCUCAAAAACCUGCACCCAUGCCUGUCCUCCUAGACCACAAAAAGGACUGAGAAAAAUCAGAUUUAGUGGCCCUUACCGACACAUUCUCGAAAACCUGUUAGAGUCCUAAGCAUUCUCCUGUUAGUAUUGGAACUUUACCCCAUCCUAUAAAGAUGUUAUGUCCCCAGAAUGAAGUGGAGGGCCAUACCCUGAGGGAAGGAAGGAAUCUCCAGGGUUGGAAGAGUGACGCCUUUUUUCCUCACUUAUAUGAAUAGGAAGAAUACAGUUUCUGAGGCUCCCCAUAUCCUAGCUUCAGGAAUAGCUUUUGUUAGGCCUGCUUGUCUGAGGAGGGACCCUAAAAUUCCAGAUAAUACCCCCUACAAUGGGGCUUUGGGCAAAAAUUAUGUCUUUCCAAUUAGUGAGCCUGGGUGCCUAAAGAAGGGAAUAGAGUCCUCGAGUUUACACUAGAAAUCAUUCUUAUAGGAGGAACUAGAAAAGCACCAGAAACAGGGAGUGGUUUUUAGAAGUGGGACUAGCCUCGGAGAAGAGAGGCAAGAGGAAGUUUGUCUGACAGGCAUUAGGACCCAGGAGGCAAGGGUCAGGAUAGAUAGGAUAGAUGGGCGAGUCUCACUUAGGCGACAUGACUUUCAGAGUUUCGCUUAUGGCUGCAGGGUCAACCGACUUGUUGUCGGGACCCCGGAGCUGAAUGGCUUUCCUCUCUAUUGACACUCGGCUCAGCCCAGAAGUACAGGAAAAGCAGAAACUGGUUCCAGGGAAACCAAUGCUCCCAACUCCGAGAGUCGGGGAUUGUUAGAGAACACUUUCCCAGAAAGCCUGACACCCGUGUCUUUAGUCCAGCAGGCAUGCUAGUUGCUUUUAACUGGCCAACAGGUGCCUGGUAUUUAGCCCCCGAAUUCUAAGGAAAAAUAGGACAGAAUAGCAAGUGAAAGGGGUCUGAUGCUACUCACCACUUGGUGAUUGUCCCUUCACGGUUGCCAAAAUGUGUCCAGAAUUGGUUCCUUUCAGUGGGUUCUUGGUCUCACUGACUUCAAGAAUGAAGCCACAGACCCUCGCGGUGAGUGUUACAGUUCUUAAAGAUUGUGUGUUUGUUCCUUCAGAUGUUCAGAUGUGCCCGGAAUUUCUUUUUUGGUGGGUUCGUGGUCUUGCUGGCUUCAGGAGUGAAGCCAGAGACCUGCGCAGUGAGUGUUACAGCUCCUAAAGUGGCACAUCUGGAGUUGUUUGUUCCUCCUGGUGGGUUCAUGGUCUCGCUGGCUUCAGGAGUGAAGCCACAGACCUUCGCAGUGAGUGUUACAGCUCUUAAAGGUGGCACAUCUGGAGUUGUUUGUUCCUCCUGGUGGGUUAGCGGUCUCACUGACUUCAGGAGUGAAGCUGCAGACCUUCACAGUGAAUAUUACAGCUCUUAAAAGUAGUGACCCGAAAGAGCAACCCAAAGAGUGAGCAGCAGCAAGAUUUAUUGUGAAGAGGUAAAGAACAAAGAUUCCACAGGGUGGAAAGGGACCUCAGCGGGUUGCCACUGCUGGCUCUGGUGGCCAGCUUUUAUUCCCUUAUUUGGCCCUGCCCACGUCCUGUUCAUUGGUUCAUUUUACCGAGCACUGAUUGGUGAUUUUACAGAGUGCUGAUUGGUCCAUUUUACAGAGUGCUGAUUAGUCCAUUUUACAGAGUGCUGAUUAGUGUGCUUUACAGAGUGCUGAUUGGUGCAUUUACAAUCCUUUAGCUAGACACAGAGUGCUGAUUGGUGCAUUUACCAUCCUUUAGCUAGACACAAAAAUUCUCCAAGUCCCCACCCGACCAAGAACCCCGGCUGGCUUCACCUCUCACUAGGGGCAGCAGGGUUCUGCUGCGUCUGGAUCCCAAAUUUCUUGCUCAUGGCUAAACCAUUAUGUGAAGCCACAAAGUGAGAAAAAAGGAGCUCCUCCUCUGGGAGACUGACCAGGAGAAGGCCUUUAAAGAAAUCAAAGGACCCUUGACUCAGGCUCCAGCUUUAGGGCUGCCAGAUCUAACUAAGCCUUUCUUUUUCUAUGUCCAUGAGUGAAAAGGAAUGGCCAUAGGGAUCCUAACCCAAGUCAUAGGGUCAUGGCACUGCCUGGUGGCAUACUUAUCCAGGAAGUUAGAUUCUGUGGCACUUGGAUGGCCUCCUUGUUUUAAGGCACUAUCUGCCACUGCUCUGCUGGCACAGGAAGCUAAUGAACUGACUUUAGGACAGCAACUGACAAUCCAGGUACCGCACUCAGGUGUAACUUUGAUGGACCAAAGGGGGUACCAUUGGUUAUCAAAUCCGAGAAUGACUUAAUACCAAGGGCUCUUAUAUGAAAAUCCCUGAAUAACUUUAGAGAUUGUGAAUACUCUAAACCCAGCUACCUUGCUCCCCAAUGAGUCAGUGCCAGGAAGUGCCCUUCAUUGCCGUGUGGAUGUGGUAGAUGAAAUGUUCUCAAGCCAGAGAGAUUUGACAGAUCAGACCCUCAGGGACCCGGACAUUGAAUAUUUUAUUGAUAGGAGCGGCUUCAUUCUAGGGGGGGUCCACUGAGCGGAGUAUGCAGUAGUGACUUUGGACUCAGUAGUAGAGGCACAGUCUUUGCCUACAGGAACUUCUGCUCAGAUAGCAGAGCUAAUAGCUCUGAGAAGGGCUCUCCAGCUAGCAAAAGACCGAAAGGCAAAUAUUUACACAGACUCUAAAUAUGCUUUUCCACUUGGCAUGUUCAUGGGGCUAUUUACAAAGAAAGAGGACUUUUAACUGCUGGAGGAAAAUAAACAAAGUACAGGAAGAAAUUCUACAGCUCUUAGACACCGUAUGGGCCACAAAGCAGGUGGCAGUGAUGCACUGUAGGUGGCACCAGAGGGCAGGAACAUUAGAGGCUAAAGGAAAUAGAAAGGCAGACACAAAGGCAAAGUGGGCUGCAAUGAUGACUCCACCUUCUAAAGAGGAAGCCUUAACUAUGCCUCUCCUCCCAGAGAUCCCCCUCUCGGAGACCCUAAGCUACACUCCAAAUGAAAGAGCUUAGUUUGCUCAGGAAAAUGGAAGCUACGUUGAAGGAGAAUGGUGAAAAUUCUGCAAUGGGAGGCUAGUUGUACCUGAAAUAGUGGCCCAGAUAACGACCAUCUGGGCUGCAUGGUGAGGGCUAUACUAAACCUGAGUUAUCAGCCUGUCAUAGCCUGAUUAAGUGCCUUUGUCUUGCUUCUGUACAUUAGUUUUCACACCACUUAGGAGUAGGUAUAUAAACAAAACCUUGUCUUUGUUUGGGGCCCAGUCUUUGGACGUUGAGUCUGCUGGGUCUGAGUGCACUCAAUAAAGAUUCUCCUGCUUUACCCUGAGGUCUCUCUUGCCCUCCUGAUUUUUCUGCAGCAAUAGCACCAAAGCAACUGCUGUAUUUCCUCAUACCACAUCAUAAUUCCACAGGGAAUUAUGGAUAUACUCAGCACGGCCUUUCAGGGCCAUUUUGUUGUAAAAAGUAAAAUAAACAUUAUCCUCUGCUCUACAUUAAUUUUGCAGGACCAUUUUUUUUCACUUUUUUCUUUAUUUGUGCAAUACAUAUUCUUCUAAACAUCUCCCAUGUACAGCAGUUCUUUAUGACAAAUACAACGGUCGAGGGGGAAAGCUAAAUCAGAAAUGGAUUCCACAUUCAAAUAACUUAGGGUCUAGAAAGAAGACAAACCAUGUAAUUAAGUGACCAUAAAACAAGAUGGGGAUGAAUAAAAGUGAUUGUAGACAGUAAACACCAUAACAAAGUAGUAAAAAUCUUGCAGUACAGAACCUAGAGUAAUUCUUGACUCCUUUUCUGUUCUUUUUCUACAGACAGGGUCCAGGUUGGCAUGGUCACAGUUCACUGUAACCUGAAACUUCUACGCUCAAAUGAUCUUCCCACCUAAGCCUCUCAGUCUCCCGAGUAGCUGGGACUGCAGGUGCAUGCCAUCACGUUUGGCUAAUUUUUAGUAUUUUGUGUAGAGAUGGGGUCUUGCUAUGCUGCCCAGGCUGGUCUAGAACUCCUGGCCUCGAGUCAUCCUCCUGCCUUGGCCUCCAAAAGUGCCGAGAUUACAUGUGUGAGCCACCAAUGUCUCCUUUAUUUAUUAUUCCUGCAAACUAAGCAAAUGGUUUAACUUAGAGCCUCAGUAUCUUUACCUGUGAAAUGGUAAUAAUAGUACCUACCUUAAAAGUUGGUGUUGGAUUAAAUGAAUAAGUUACCCUGAUCUGUUUCAUUGUCUACCAACAACAGAAUUGUUGAGGGAAUUAAUUAUAUCACAAUAAUUACAUAAAACCUAAUUGAUAUUAGUUUAAUAAAAAGUAAUGUAUAAAUGUUUGUUCUUUUCCAUUGCUAUAGCUAGAUUAAUAUUGAUCCAGAGCAUAGAAGGACCAUUCUUGCUUUUCCAAGUUAUUCAAUCUGGAUAGUUCACAAGUGAGCAACUAUACAUAAUUAACAACAACCUAACUAUUACAACUAUAUAGUUCUGAUAUGUCAGUUAUAAUAUCUGUUGAUUUAAUUAUCAAACCUCAAUGUAAUGGUUAUGAGCUUUUAAUAUUUCUUUCCCAUUUACCCAAAAGCUUUAAAUUACAUUUCUUUGAUAUGACAGAAAAUAGGAAAUGGAAACUAAGAGAUUAGAAUUAAAACAUAUUUACUAUCAUAGCUUUAAUAUAACCAUGGUUACAUUGUUUAAUGCACACGUAAAAGUAGCCAGGGACAGCUGGGUAGCCUGAGGUUCCCAUGCUAGGAAGGAGAGCAUCCUGCUAAGGAUUGGAGUUUAGAGACACACGAAUGAAAGUAUCUGUCAGGAUGGAAUGAUCUAGAUAUGAUGGCCAUGGAUCUUCAUUGAUAGAGAAACUGUCUUCUGUAUUAACUGACAGGAGAAAAGUGAAGAAAAGCAAAGGAUAUUCAAAUGACAGAUAAUUUGGCUGCAUAAGGGAAGAAUAGUUCUAACUUCAAAUCCAGCCCUUUCAUAUCUGUGUCUUAAUGUUGCUCCAUGUUUUAUGCCAAUCAAAUUUGAUAACAUGAACUAAGAUUUUUUAUAAGGUAUAGUGUAUGGAAAAAUAAUACAGCCUUAUUCUUAGGUAUCAACAGACUAUUAAACAAACUGUAAUCAUAAGAUAUGAAAUUGGGUUAUUUAUUACAGUGAUAAACCGCUGAACAUUGUGUGAAAAACGUAGGAUAGUUUUGCAUUAAUUUUAAGUUUUUAUAAAUUCUAUAAACAUUGGGAUUUAUUAAAAAACAGUGUUUUAACUGAUGAUAUUCUGUUGGAAUUUUCUAGCAAUAAAUGGGUGUUUUGUUCAA